CCCUUUGUUUGAUGGAUCAAAGGCCACGAUCGGUGUGGUGGUGGUCGACGGCAGGAGGGCUACGUCACUGCAGUCUGAAGAAUUCAAACCGACGGUCGACAGUGACCACUAGAACCAAAAAAAUCAAAGAAAAGGGGGGCGAGAAUAGGAGAUGUUUUCUCCAUCAAAAUCUGGUGAACCCGAUCAUUGGCGAUCAUGCACACAGGCAAGGAAAGGAAGGGGGAGAAGGGAGGAAGAGAAGUUGGGGCUUACCUCGAGCUCUGGUGAUGUCUCUAGUGAGAAACUGAGGCAAACAUGGUGAAGGCUUCCGCAAGAAAACUCUAGCGAUCCUCCCCAUUU
rnacentral:lncRNA from 1 species